GCCUCGAUAGCUCAGUGGUAGAGCACUUCACUCGUAAUGAAGGGGUCGUGAGUUCAAUCCUCACUCGAGGCU
rnacentral:tRNA from 2 species